AUACGUAGGGGGCGAGCGUUGUCCGGAAUUAUUGGGCGUAAAGGGCGCGUAGGCGGCCCGGUAAGUCUGGAGUGAAAGUCCUGUUUUUAAGAUGGGAAUUGCUUUGGAUACUGUCGGGCUUGAGUGCAGGAGAGGUAAGUGGAAUUCCCAGUGUAGCGGUGAAAUGCGUAGAGAUUGGGAGGAACACCAGUGGCGAAGGCGGCUGUCUGGACUGUAACUGACGCUGAGGCACGAAAGUGUGGGGAGCAAACAGGAUUAGAUACCCUGGUAGUCCACGCUGUAAACGAUGAAUGCUAGGUGUAGGGUGUAUCGACCCCUUCUGUGCCGCAGUCAACACAAUAAGCAUUCCGCCUGGGGAGUACGGCCGCAAGGUUGAAACUCAAAGGAAUUGACGGGG
rnacentral:rRNA from 1 species